GUCUGCAGCCAGGCCACCCUGAAUGUGCCCAAUCUCGUCUGAUCUCAGAAGCUAAGUAGGGACGGGCCUGGUUAGUACUUGAAUGGGAGACCACCUAAGAAGACCAGGUGCUAUAGGUA
rnacentral:rRNA from 1 species